CUGAUUCAACUCUGAAGCUGUUCCUCAUAUUUUAGCCAAUAAUAUUAGUCGAGAUCGAUUUUUAAACAUGAUAAACAUAUUCAUUUUAUAGACAACACAAAAGUCGAACAGUCAGACACUACAGCGAAACUGAGGUCAUUCUUUGAGGAUUUAGACGCCUGAAUAUUCAGCAAUAGACAAAACUUAUUCGUUUUUGUAUACCUCCAAUAUCUUGCGAAUCUGUUUACCAAUAGCCGUGAUUUUUUAGGAAAAUAUCAUCAACAGCAAUCAUCACUACUCCAUUGUGAAGAAUCAUUGACUUUUAUAUGCAGUCAAUUUCUUCAUCAAAAGGUCAUGAAAUCUCUAGUUACAUCAAGAUUGGGAUACAUCAAUAUUGAUAGAAAUAGUUCAAGAUGGGAUCGCGUCCAUGAAAGUCUACAUAAAUAUCUGAAUAUGCUUCGAUCCUUCACUCUUGUCCCUCGGUAGUAAAUUAUCCUGCGAAUUAUCGUGUUUUUAUAUUUUAUACGUAUUUUAUGGUUCUAUAUGAGAACCAACUUGUUUCUUUGUGGCAAUUAAUCUUCCUAUUACUGGAGGAUUUGGGAUCGCAAAAAAUGGAAGAAAAACAUAGUUACAACACCAUUCCGAAAUAAAGAAUCCUAUUUAGUGGUUAAUAUAUACAAGACCCCUAU
rnacentral:lncRNA from 1 species